AGAAGAUGCCCCGGAUUUAAAGAUGUGUAUUAAAUGAAGUAUGAGAAGAAACAGCUUCUUCCGACACUUGUGCUCCUUUUCUUCAGCUCGUGCAGAAGGCUGAUAGCCUGUCUCACUCUCAUCAGUGCUAUCCCACCAGCUCCUUUAGGAGCUCAGCACCACGUUUGGCCUGUUCUGAUCUCCCCAAUCUCCUCAUUUCUGUGCUGCAACACCACCAUCCAUAAGAAGUCAGAGAGGAGAAAAGCUCUUUCCAGCGAGAUGGAGAAGGAAUUAAUUAUACCUCUGCCUCAUCCUGUGAGACCAGAAGACAUGGAGUAACUGUAAGCUGCGAUUCUCAGGAGACACUAAGAGUCUUGGGUUCCUUCUCUGCCUGCCUCCCAAGGCCUCAGGGAUGAGAAAUCUUAGGCUUUGUUUUUCCCUAUGAAAUACUGUCGUGUUAAGGGGCAUAGCUGACUAACUGUUACGGGUCUGGUCGGAUUCAGGUUACUGAACUAUCACGGUCACGGAUUCACCAAUAACGUAGCACAUCCUUGAUCUAGUCGCAUUCAAUGAGAACUAUCACGGCUAGGAACAAUGCAAUGAAGGGCAGUUUAUUACAGCAACCAGGGACACAGGUUCUUUGGAUUGCCGGAGAUAAAUUCACUGUCUGCAAAAGCAAGCGAGCAUGCAUGAAAUACACAGGUACUCAUCCUGGCUAUUAAUGCGUUAAAAGGCACAAAGGCUCUAGAGAUUUCUAAGUUUCCAUGGAGACACCUGCUACAGCCAAGUGUUCAAAUCUUACCCCACAACAUCCCAAUGCAAGGGGAAGAGAGGCUCAGCCCGUCGACUGAUCCCAGAAGUCAGAAAGGUAUCCUUCGUGAUGGUAUCUUCCCUAACAUCCCCUUUCACUUAAGCCAGUUUACAUUGUCCGCUGAUCUAUUCUCUUUAGUGACCAGUGAUAGGACCCGCAGGAAUGGUGUCGAAGCUGCGGCAGGAGAGGUUCAGGCUGGACAUCAGGAAGAGGUUUUUCACUGAGAGGGUUGUCGCGCACUGGAACAGUCUCCCCAGGAAAGUAGUCACUGCACCAAGCCUGUCGGAGUUUAAGAAGCGUUUGGACUGUGCACUUAGUCACACGGUCUGAAUUUUUGGGGUGACCUGUGUGGUUCCAGGAGAUGGCACUAGUAUAGGGGUGUGCUACUGUUGCUGUUGUCUUUCUGUCUGGUUGACCUCUGGCUUUAAUCACCAGGUAGCAUGCACUAGGAAACUUCUAAAGCCUUGGAAACAUAAUUGCAGAUUUUUAAGCUUGUUAUUAUGCUCUUCUGAGUGAAGGGCUAGCUUAAUCUAAGAUGUGACCUCUCUGCACCGCAAUUUAGCAAGAAAAACUUGACCAGUUUAGUAAAAAAAUGAUGAAAUCCGCACAAGCAAAUCCAAAUAUUGUGCUAACUUGACUUCACCUGGUCUACAGCCUGGCCUCUGUGAAGAAUCUGAAUACAUUUCUAGGCUCUUUAUUGCAUAUAACGUAGGAAAAACUAAUCAGUGAAAUUGCUGCGUAGGUUGACCUGCAGUAUUGUCAUACUGUCAGGAUAUUGUACCAUCACUAUAUGAGAAAUUCUUAGCAAAUAGAACUAAUUGGUUUUUAUAACCCUUUAGAACUAAAUGAAUAUGCUCAUAAUUAUAAAAAAAACAAACACAAAAAAAAGCCCCUUCUAUUGAAGGGUUUGGAUUUUUUGAAAACGUAACCUAUUGAAAUCUUUAUGCAAUAUGAAAUUGUUCUGGUACACUGUACUCGUGGAAGCAGAUAAAGCUUUUAGUGAAAUGGAGAACUUAUUUUUCACUGCUUUUGCAUCUAGUGAAACAUUCUUGAAAUUAACAAUUCUCUGAGUAAGAGUUAAGGAAAAUGAAGGAAAAAGUAAUGCAUAUAAUUCUGGACUUUGUAGAUGGAACAAGUACAAUAAGGAUGGAAUGUCAUGAUGAGGAUUUAAUAUUUUAAACUACUUAAGUAGACUUUUGUAGUAUUGUGCCUCUAUAUAAAUAGUGGUGAUAAUUCUUACUGUACAAGUUUGACAGUGUUGUCAGUAGCUUGCUAUAUGUACUUAGUUGCAUAGCAAAGCUUAUUAAUUGUGUAAUAUAAGGCAUAGUUCUCGCCUGUAACUUUGCACAGGACUUAUCACAGCAGAACCAUCUCUUCUCAAAAGCAGCUCGGUACGUUUGAAAUCUUAAAGCCGUUGAAAAUACACACCCAGCAGGUCUUUCCAAUUAUUCUGGAAGAACAAGCACAGGGAGUACUACCUGAAUAUGACAGGUCACUUCUUUACUGUGAGGGUGACAGAGCACUGGAACAGGUUGCCCAGAGAGGUUGUAGAGUCUCCUUCUCUGGAGAUAUUCAAAACCUACCUGGAUGCCAUCUUGCACAAUGUGCUCUAGGUGAUCCUGCUUGGCCAGGGGGGUUGGACGAGAUGAUCUUCAGAAGUCCCCUCCAACCUCAACCAUUCUGUGAUUCUGUAACAGAAAGUAGCAUGAAAUAUUGAAGCUGUAAUUCACGUGUUUCUCCAGCAAUUCAUUUUCUGCUCCUGCUUCUUAGAAAGCUAAAGAGGAGGUAGAGCUGAUGAGUGCAGGGAGGUAUGAAGAGAUCACUUCAGUUAAAGCUUCUUAAAGCUUAACACGAAGCACCCUUGACAUAGUCUCUGUCUUACAAACCAGAAAUGAGUGAACAGUAUGCUUUCAUUGAGUAGAUGACUGUGGUUUUUCCCCUUGCAAAUACUUUGCAAAUACUUUUUGCAGUACUUUUUCCCCUUUGCAAAUACAAAAAAAGUUCUGCACUUACAGGAACAACAGAGCUGCUAGAAACAAAGAAUUCCUCUUGUCUUAUACUUCAAAACCUACAGCUAAAUAAAAACUUACCAUUUUACAAAUGUGAAUACUUGUAUCAUAUACCUUAGGAGGAAUCUUUUGAUUUUUUUUUUCCAACCGUCUCUAAUGCUUAUGCAGAGACUUGUGUAUUAAUGACACAGAUCCUCUGAAGGAUAUCUUGUAUUGGCUUCAGAACUUUUUAGCCUAGAGAAAAUAGAUGGUGUAAGACUUGAAAGUGUGGUGAUAACCUUAAGCCAGGUUACUUUUUGUCUGCUACAGAAACAUGCCCACCUAAUUUGUGGAUACUUGAUUUGUCUAACUGUUGCUUAAAACUUAAUUUCUGUGAUGUGCUUCUUGAUCGGUUGUGUUUUGUUUGUAUUUUGUGCUAAUGACAAUAAGGGCUGGCUAGUAGAGGCAAAAUUAUACCUAGUGUAGGUAAAAGCCUUGCAUAUUGUCACAGUGGCUGACUGCAGCUAGUGUUCAGCUCCUUAUGAUCAGCAGGUCUGAUUUUUCUGUUCCAAGGUUAUGAAGGUGUGAUGCAGUGUUUGAUAUUAUACUGACUGGUUAUAUAUAGUUUUGAUAUUAAAGAAUUGUAGCUAACUGCUA